AAAGAAAGAAAGAAAGAAAAACAUUUAUUUGGUUCAAACUUAAAAAAUAUAACACACAGAAUGAGAUAACAAAAAACAAGUAUAAGUUAGAACCAAAAUUGGCCACCGCUCAGCAUGUGUCAUGCUCUGGAGUGUAAUAAAACCAGAACACGACGCUGUUAUUCUGCGGUGACCAUUUUUGGAGAGAGCUGGAAACAAACAUGAGAUGAGACAAUACACAAAAAACAAACAAAAGAGAAAAAACAAAAUAAAAAAAUAAAAAUUACAAUAUUAAAAGAAAAAAGUAAAUAGAGGGCGCCACCAUCACAUACGGGUUUUAGCAAAUUUGGCGAAAAUGCACAAGUUCACCGCCAUCAACAAAGAAGAAGUUGUUUUGACAUUUGCAAGAGGGCGCCACCAUCAGUUCAAAUACUAAAACCAACUAAAACCACAGAAUAAUAACAAGUAGGUACUACGCUAAAACUUAAAUUACAUUAUUUAAAAAACUAAUAAAAAACAACACGGAGGUACAACUUCACUUUAAUUCGGAGAUCGCGACAACAACAGUAAAUUUAACUUAAACGAAAAGCAACAUGCCGUGGCUAUAAGUCACAGUCCUGAAAUAAAAUUAAAAAUUGGGAGAAAAAGAAAACAAAAAAAAAAAAAGUCAAUCAGUCAUGUCAAUCAUUCAUCCGUCAAGUGUCAACAUUUUAUUUUUACUGCCGUUUGAGUGGGUGAUUUUUAGUUUUGCAAUAAAUAAAAAAAAAUAUGUGCAUGAGCAUGCGCUGCCACGCAGAUGGAAAGUGACGUGGCAAAAAGUUUGGAGCAUAAAACGUCAUGGGACAGGGGCACCAAACGUUCUCCCCUCGCCGUAAGCAUUCAGGGCCUCCGUCGGUGUUGGAAUUACAAUGUUCAUACACGUGUCGCGCAUAACCUAGACGGCGCGCAUUGGCGGUGGUAGGUCAUUCCAGCACCGCGUGGCUGCGAAUCUAAAGGAUCCCCUGAAAGCCACUGUGCGAUGUUGAGGAGUGAGAAAGCUCAACGUAUUGCCGCCUUCCGGACAGAUAACUAUGAAACCAACGGACAGUACCCGGGUCGAGACCAUAAUAGCUCAUCUUGGACAGCAGCAAGGGUAUAUUAAUUGAAUCGAAGGCCCUAGAGAAAUCAAGCAACAGUAGCAAGGUGACCUUCCCCUGGUCCUGUGCAGCCAGGAUAUUAUCAACAACAUCUGCCAAGGCUGUUGCCGUCCCACAGCCUCGCCGGAAACCUGAUUGAUAGUGUGGAAGCAUAUUGUUUUCUUCAAGAUAUUUGGUUAGCUGAUCACACACUAUCCUCUCAAGCACCUUGGAGAGGCAUGGGAGGAUACUUAUCGGCCUGAGAUCACGCAAUGAUGUUGGGUGGUUAUUCUUCGGAAUUGGUUUUAUAAGUGCUAUUUUCCAACUAUCAGGAAAUUUAUUGUCAAGGAUGGAUCGGUUGACUAUUGCAGUAAUGGCGUCCAGUGAAUGCGGCAGAGUAAGCAACAGCAUGUCAAGUGACAGGCCAUCAUGCCCCUGAGCAUUAGAUUUGAGUCCAUUGAUAGUUUUCAAGACUACUUCUGGACUGACAGUCCGCAAUGAGAAAUGUGCAGAGCCACAGUGCCUAUGGUGCUCAAAGAAUGUGAGCUGUGACAUUGACACUCCAUCAGCACCUGGCACAUCCAAGAAAUGUAAAUUUGUUUGGUGUGCAUCAUUGAACAUGGAAGAGCUGGGGUUCUGUGCCGCUUGUACUGGGCAUGAAGCCUGUCCCUUAUGCCCAUCAUUGACUUGAUUGUGUCGGUAAUCCACGGAUGAGGUGGGUGCCUGAACUUUCGAGUUUUGAUUGGGGCAUGCAGGUCAAACAGACCAACAAUACAGAAGGUGAAGGCCUCAACUAAUUGGUCAACAUUGAGAAUAUGGUCGAAGUUCUGCCAGCUAAUUGCCUCAAGUUCAGUCAGCUUGAUGGAAUGCCAAACACUCUUUCAAGAUCUUCCAUCGAUCGAAGCUGGGAGAUUUGAGCGCCAUCGCCCCUGCGCACGAGCACACGGCCCCGCCUCGUCCAGCAGUACCGCCAUUGUGACCUACGGCACU